GACGAACGCUGGCGGCGUGCUUAACACAUGCAAGUCGAACGGAAAGGCCCUGCUUUUGUGGGGUGCUCGAGUGGCGAACGGGUGAGUAACACGUGAGUAACCUGCCCUUGACUUUGGGAUAACUUCAGGAAACUGGGGCUAAUACCGGAUAGGAGCUCCUGCUGCAUGGUGGGGGUUGGAAAGUUUCGGCGGUUGGGGAUGGACUCGCGGCUUAUCAGCUUGUUGGUGGGGUAGUGGCUUACCAAGGCUUUGACGGGUAGCCGGCCUGAGAGGGUUGCCGGCCACAUUGGGCCUGAGAUACGGCCCAGACUCCUACGGGAGGCAGAAGUGGGGAAUAUUGCACAAUGGGCGGAAGCCUGAUGCAGCAACGCCGCGUGCGGGAUGACGGCCUUCGGGUUGUAAACCGCUUUCGCCUGUGACGAAGCGUGAGUGACGGUAAUGGGUAAAGAAGCACCGGCUAACUACGUG
rnacentral:rRNA from 1 species